GAUUGCUGUAGUGCCAGUUGGUCAGGUUACAGUGGCUCCUGGCCCAGACUCUCAUAGAGAUCAUGCUGUAGCAGGUGUUGCUGCUCCGUGCACUUCUCCCUCGCGGCCUGCUGAUGGAGAACAUCUGGAGAGCCUCUGUUCUACCCCUUCUUUCCUGUCCCCGAUAUGACCAGGCGAUGUAGCGAGCAGUGAGAUACAUGUCGACACAUGGUUACCAGGUCCCUUCACAGAGUACAGAGUGCCUCCACAUCCAGACCUGCCCUUACUGCUCCACUGACACUGAGGCUGCAUGAAGAAUUGAUGUGUAUGAGAAGGGCUCACCCUAAAAGAUCACAUUCCAUCUCUUUUCAAGCAGAUGACCAUGCCUUCCGUCUGCACUCCCUCCUCUCCGUUCCUCUUCUCUGUUUUUUUUCCCCGUACUUACAGACAGAGGGAGCAGCUCAACUUGACAUUGACUGCUGUGUUGUUGUAAUGCCUCUCAAAUCUUAUUAAAGACCACAACUGCAAAGGACCUUGCUGACUCCACAGAUUUCCAUUAACUGCAUUGUUUCAGUAUCCUACAAGCUGAUUAAGAAUUUAUUAAAAUGAGACUUUAACUCUGCACGCAGAUAUCUUAUCAACGCCAUAUGGCUGCAUUGUUGGUAGGCCGCAUUAAUAAACACUCUCAAUAAGCCCGGCUCCA
rnacentral:lncRNA from 1 species